AAGAGGGAACCCGGUGUGAUUCCGGGACUGCCCCGCAGCGGUGAGCGGGAACGAACUCCGUCACCGUCCUCGCACGAGGACGGAUCAGAAGCACUGGGGGUCUGCGGCCCCCGGGAAGCGACGGACAGUAGGUCCACCGGCCGACCCGGCCGGAAUGCCCGCGAGUCCGAAGACCU
rnacentral:ncRNA from 1 species